GACGAACGCUGGCGGCGUGCUUAACACAUGCAAGUCGAACGGAAAGGCCCCUUCGGGGGUACUCGAGUGGCGAACAGGUGAGUAACACGUGAGUAACCUGCCCUUGACUUCGGGAUAACUUCAGGAAACUGGGGCUAAUACCGGAUAGGAAUCCUUGCUGCAUGGUGGGGGUUGGAAAGCUUCGGCGGUUUUGGAUGGACUCGCGGCUUAUCAGCUUGUUGGUGGGGUAGUGGCUUACCAAGGCUUUGACGGGUAGCCGGCCUGAGAGGGCGACCGGCCAAAGUGGGACUGAGAUACGGCCCAGACUCCUACGGGAGGCAGCAGUGGGGAAUAUUGCACAAUGGGCGGAAGCCUGAUGCAGCAACGCCGCGUGCGGGAUGACGGCCUUCGGGUUGUAAACCGCUUUCAGCAGGGGCGAAGCUUGUGGUGACGGUACCUGCAGAAGAAGCACCGGCUAACUACGUG
rnacentral:rRNA from 1 species